rnacentral:misc_RNA from 1 species
AACCUAGCACACCUGCGGUGUGUACCUGCGGAAGGAUCAUUAACAAGCUGUGGGAGAUCGAUCAAUUUGAUCUCACACCUGGCCAACCUUGUUAACCUUAAAUAUAUUGCUUUGGUGAGCCCUGCUCACCAAAGUCAAACCCUAAACUCUUGAUUGUUUCUGCUGUCUGAGCAUGCAAGUGCAAAAUUUAGUUAAAAACUUUUAACAACGGAUCU